rnacentral:lncRNA from 1 species
CUGAUUUGUGGUAACUCCAAAGUUUUGAAUGCCUCCCUAGCUGUAGCAGCAAUACUGGUUUCUAUCAAGGGAAGGUACUUGUAAAACCAUGUCUGGGGUUGGGGGAUGGAAGGAAGGCAGCAGGUACAGGACAGCUACUGCCUCCCAUACUCCAUCUUCCUCUCAGGGUAACCCCUGGCACGGCAACAGUGAAAUGGAGAAAGGUGAAAAUGCCCAGAAGCUGGCAGCUUCUGAAGAGAAACAAAGAGGCCAAGCAUCAGCCCACCCACAGCAGCAACAUCGGUAUGUUGGCCCAUAUGUCUUGGUAACUCCAAAUGAAACCAGAAGAAAACAGUUGCAACAAAUUGCUAAGAAAGAGCUUGAUGACCUGGAGCAAUGGAAGAAAGAACACAGGCCAGGGCCAAUUAUGUUGGUGCCACAGAGACUGGGUAAGACAUGUAAAUCAGCAAUUGAGAAAUGCAGAAUUUAAUUUUCCAAGACAUGAGACAUUUUUCACUUUUUCUCACUACUUAUUAUAAAGAAAUUCAGUGUCAAUAAAGGCUGACAUGAGCCCA